GGCUUAGUGGUCUAGUGGUAUGAUUCUCGCUUAGGGUGCGAGAGGUCCCGGGUUCAAUUCCCGGCUAAGCCC
rfam:Neocallimastix californiae strain G1 LY90scaffold_246, whole genome shotgun sequence.